rnacentral:rRNA from 1 species
GGGGGGGGGGGGGGGGGGGGGGUGGGGGGGGGGGGGGGACGGGGGGGGGGGGGCUGGCACCUGGGGGCGGGUGGCGGACGGGUGAGUGAUACAUCGGAAGCGGUCCGGUAGGGGGGGAUAGGCCGGGGAAAGGCGGAUCAAUACCGCGUACGGUGUACGGAUGCAAGCGGGGGACGCGCGGGGCGCGCGCCGGAGGGGUGGCUGAUGGCUGAUUAGCUGGUUGGGGGGGUAAAGGCCCAACAAGGCGACGAUCAGUAGCUGGGCUGAGAGGACGACCAGCCACACUGGGACUGAGACACGGCCCAGACUCCUACGGGAGGCAGCAGUGGGGAAUUUUGGACAAUGGGCGGAAGCCUGAUCCAGCAAUGCCGCGUGUGUGAAGAAGGCCUUCGGGUUGUAAAGCACUUUUGUCCGGAAAGAAAUCCUUGGCCCUAAUACGGUCGGGGGAUGACGGUACCGGAAGAAUAAGCACCGGCUAACUACGUG